UGAAUUAUGAAUGGAUGUUGCCCAGAAAUAAUUGCAAACAUUAUUGCCCCCCAUACAUGUGUGUCCUCCGCGGGGCUACAGCAAUAGAUUUUGUUGCUUUAACACUCCAGCCUGGGCAAAAGAGUAAGACUCUGUCUCAAAAACAAAAACAAAAACAGAAAAAAACACAAUCAGAUUAGAGAGCCCACACCCUCUAAGUCAGAAUGUGAAAUGGUGAGGCCAAUAAGAUUUAUUUUUCAAAUCUUCCCAAGGCUUCUAGUGCCCAGCAGACUGGUUUGCAAACCAGUCUUCUAAAGCAAUCUUCUUUCUAUCAUUAAGGAGCCCAUGACACAGAGGUGUUAAGUUCAAGGUCUCUUGGGUCAGCUUUUGGAUCCACUGUUCCAAAGGGACAGGUUCUUAGGGGGCUGGCAUUUUCUUGGAGUG
rnacentral:lncRNA from 10 species